AACGAACGCUGGCGGCAGGCCUAACACAUGCAAGUCGAACGAGAAACCAGAGCUUGCUCUGGCGGAAAGUGGCAGACGGGUGAGUAACGCGUGGGAAUCUACCCAGUGGUACGGAACAACUCAGGGAAACUUGGGCUAAUACCGUAUACGCCCUCCGGGGGAAAGAUUUAUCGCCAUUGGAUGAGCCCGCGUCGGAUUAGCUAGUUGGUAAGGUAAAAGCUUACCAAGGCGACGAUCCGUAGCUGGUCUGAGAGGAUGAUCAGCCACACUGGGACUGAGACACGGCCCAGACUCCUACGGGAGCAGCAGUGGGAAUAUUGGACAAUGGGCGCAAGCCUGAUCCAGCCAUGCCGCGUGAGUGAUGAAGGCCCUAGGGUUGUAAGCUCUUUCAGUAGUGAAGAUAAUGACGGUAACUAC
rnacentral:rRNA from 1 species